CAUGCAUAUAAAAAAGAAAAAAAAAAAAAAAAGAAAAUCUGGAAGCCUGGAUGUUUUCCUAAAGUAUUUAAUAGCACUGAGGAUGUGAAAUACUGUACUGAGUCCUCUGGGAAACCUACAAUUAGUGGAAUGAAAAUACCGCCUGUAAAUGAUUGAGCUCCUGAAACAGUGUGAGCAAUUAAAAUGCUAUACAGGACAGAGUUGAAAAUCCUUACAGGAUUAUCACAGUGAGGCAUUGUUUAAAAGGAUGUCCUUGAGUUGGACAGUAGCAGCAGCAUUGCUUGUAGAUGUUUCUCAGAGUUCCUGUGGGAGUGGGAGGCUGCAGACAUGGUGUGCAGUACCUGCUUAGCCUCAUGUUUUCUUCCACUUAUACUCUCACUGUUCCAACUGAGAGAAACUCUUCAUGCCAUAUUUAUUUCGUUCCACGAGGACUGCAGCAUCUCCUGGAGGCUUAUUACUCAAGAGAAAGGAGCUGUGCACCGGGAGCCAAAUUAAACUGAGCAAAGAAGAAGUUGUUUCCACCGCAGGGAUGGAACAGAUCGUUUUGCUCAAGACCAGGUCAGGAACGGGUAGUGGGGAGAAAACGUAGCUGGAAGCCUGUGAUGCAAGGAGUUUGUGCUGCGAAGCUGGGAGACACAAGCCUGUAAUUUUUUUAUGUCUUAGCCUGACUCUGUCUCUUUUGUGAGUUGCUGAGCAUCUCCUGCUUAACAGCGGCGUAUUGUCAUGAACAGAUUUCAGUGCUAGGAGGUGUAACGGUGACCCUGCUCUCUCAUCGUCUACUGGAUGUUGAGUUUUUCUUGGAGAGCUAUCCAUAGCCAGCUUAAAGAUCUCCACAUGAUGGAAAAUGCAGCACGUCCCUGGAAGCACCACCUUCUCCCUUCCUCUUUUAGAAAGUACUUCUUUUCAGCAUGAUUUUGUCUAGUUUUUAUAGGACUUCUGCUGUUGCAUCAUCACUGUUUUCCCUCUGUUUGUUGGAAAAUCUCUUUACACAUCACUCAGGUCAGGCUCAAAGGGUGACCAGAGUCACCAUGUCCAUUUGCCAGACUCGCAAC
rnacentral:lncRNA from 1 species